AGUCGACGAUGAUCUCCAGCUUGCUGGGGGGAUUAGUGGCGAACGGGUGAGUAACACGUGAGUAACCUGCCCUUGACUCUGGGAUAAGCCUGGGAAACUGGGUCUAAUACUGGAUACGACCUUCCCACGCAUGUGGUGUUGGUGGAAAGCUUUUGUGGUUUUGGAUGGACUCGCGGCCUAUCAGCUUGUUGGUGGGGUAAUGGCCUACCAAGGCGACGACGGGUAGCCGGCCUGAGAGGGUGGACGGCCACACUGGGACUGAGACACGGCCCAGACUCCUACGGGAGGCAGCAGUGGGGAAUAUUGCACAAUGGGCGCAAGCCUGAUGCAGCGACGCCGCGUGAGGGAUGAAGGCCUUCGGGUUGUAAACCUCUUUCAGUAGGGAAGAAGCGAAAGUGACGGUACCUGCAGAAGAAGCGCCGGCUAACUACGUGCCAGCAGCCGCGGUAAUACGUAGGGCGCAAGCGUUAUCCGGAAUUAUUGGGCGUAAAGAGCUCGUAGGCGGUUUGUCGCGUCUGCCGUGAAAGUCCGGGGCUUAACUCCGGAUCUGCGGUGGGUACGGGCAGACUUGAGUGAUGUAGGGGAGACUGGAAUUCCUGGUGUAGCGGUGAAAUGCGCAGAUAUCAGGAGGAACACCGAUGGCGAAGGCAGGUCUCUGGGCAUUAACUGACGCUGAGGAGCGAAAGCAUGGGGAGCGAACAGGAUUAGAUACCC
rnacentral:rRNA from 1 species